rnacentral:lncRNA from 1 species
UGAACACAGAAAUUCAAUCUCAAAUAUUUAUCUGCGGUCAGCAUCCUUGCCCCAUUUCACAGAAUGGGAGACAGGUGCAGAGAGUGAAAAGAGCAGCCCAUACCAGCAGCAGGGCUAUGAAGAGAACCUUUUUGCUCCCACCCAGGCUGUGGCCCAUCCUUCUGAGUUGGAGUCACAGCAAAGCCUCCGACUGGAACAGAAACAAAAUCAACUCAGCCUUUCCUCUUUCAGAGGGAGUCAGGGCUAAUAUCCAGCUGCUGGAAGUGAGAGGCCUUUGGAGGAAGAACUCUGAGAAGCAAGGCUCCCAUCUGCUCUUUGUGGACAUUUAAUAUCUCAGGGCGAUUUCUGCAGAGCAAAGUUUAUCCCAGGCUCUGGGCUGGAUGUUUCCUGCCUCACAGGCAUGCAGGGGCUGUGAGCUAUUGGUGUCCCUGGCCAUUACGCUUCCACCCCUGAAGAGACUCGAAUCAGAAGCAGAUCAAGUGGUUUCUGUAUGAUUAUGGCUUAGAAAUGAUGAGCGGCGGUAGAAACAUGAGAUAGGAUCAUCAUCUUUAAUCCUGCACCAGCGCCAGCACAUUGGUCAUUUGCUUGUAUGGAACGUCAGUUUCAGAGGGGGCGAUUCCAUUUAAGAAGGAUGUGGUGCUUUCCCAUCAGGCAGGUGAAAUUGACUUCCGUUGAUGAUAGGAUGCCUGCAUAUUUGAAAACAGGAAAGCAUUUGCUUUGCCCCAGUUCACUUUUUGGUUAAAUAAUAUUCAAAGAGGUAGGGUGAUAAAACUCCUUUGUCACUUGUCAGCCCUGCUGUGGAAAUCCAGGAGCCAGCGUAGCAGAUGCACUUCCGAGGGUCCCGCCAUCUGUAAUUGGCUGAGUCGUCCCAGGAGUCAUGGAUCCCAUGGCAGCCAGAGAGCCCUCCUCCCUUUUGUCUCUUGCUUCUUCUCUUGCCUUGUGAUGCCUGAUCUGCUUCCCCUUCUGUUCAUGGAAGCUUCUGAAGCCCUCACCAGAAGUAGAUGCUGGCGCCAUGCUUCUUGUAUAGUCUGUAAAACUGUGUAUCAAAUAAACCUCUUUUCCUUACAAAUUGUCCAGCUGCAGGUAAUCCCUUAUAGCAACACAAAAACGGACUAAGACAAUGAGUCACAUUUGUAAUGAAAAGUGUAGUCUUUGAAAAUUUGGCGUGACUUACCUGGAGGUUUGUAAUAAUUUGAUCUACACAGGGUGACACAGGACAGCAACCAUCUGUAUAGCAUUGGGCUAUUAUAUCCAUCAGACUUGAGGAUAAUCUUCUGAGGGCAGGGACAGUGUCCAUUUCUUGCCAUUGAGUUUCCAGUGCUCACAACAAAGAUGCGUCGAUGGGUCGGGCGUGGUGGCUCACGUCUGUGAUCCCAGCACUUUGGGAGGCUGAGGUGGGCGGAUCACAAGGUCAGCAGUUUGAGACCAGCCUGGCCAACAUGGUGAAACCCCAUCUCUUCUAAAAAUACAAAAAAAAAAAAAAAUUAGGCUUGGUGGCACAUGACUGUAGUCCCAGCUACUUGGGAGGCUGAGGCAGAAGAAUCUCUUGAACCCGGGAAGCAGAAGUUGCAGUGAGCUGAGAUCACGCCAUUGCACU